rnacentral:rRNA from 1 species
GACGGGUGAGUAACACGUGGGUAACCUGCCCAUAAGACUGGGAUAACUCCGGGAAACCGGGGCUAAUACCGGAUAACAUUUUGAACCGCAUGGUUCGAAAUUGAAAGGCGGCUUCGGCUGUCACUUAUGGAUGGACCCGCGUCGCAUUAGCUAGUUGGUGAGGUAACGGCUCACCAAGGCAACGAUGCGUAGCCGACCUGAGAGGGUGAUCGGCCACACUGGGACUGAGACACGGCCCAGACUCCUACGGGAGGCAGCAGUAGGGAAUCUUCCGCAAUGGACGAAAGUCUGACGGAGCAACGCCGCGUGAGUGAUGAAGGCUUUCGGGUCGUAAAACUCUGUUGUUAGGGAAGAACAAGUGCUAGUUGAAUAAGCUGGCACCUUGACGGUACCUAACCAGAA